UACGAGGGGGGCGAGCGUUGUUCGGAAUUAUUGGGCGUAAAGGGUGCGUAGGCGGUUUGGUAAGUCUUAUGUGAAAUCUAUGGGCUCAACUCAUAGACUGCAUGAGAAACUGCCGGGCUUGAGUAUGGGAGAGGUGAGUGGAAUUCCUGGUGUAGCGGUGAAAUGCGUAGAUAUCAGGAGGAACACCUGUGGCGAAAGCGGCUCACUGGACCAUAACUGACGCUGAGGCGCGAAAGCUAGGGGAGCAAACAGG
rnacentral:rRNA from 1 species